CAGUCGCCGCGGUAAUACGAAGGGUGCAAGCGUUACUCGGAAUUACUGGGCGUAAAGCGUGCGUAGGUGGUGGUUUAAGUCCGUUGUGAAAGCCCUGGGCUCAACCUGGGUAUUGCAGUGGAUACUGGGUCACUAGAGUGUGGUAGAGGAUAGUGGAAUUUCCGGUGUAGCAGUGAAAUGCGUAGAGAUCGGAAGGAACAUCUGUGGCGAAGGCGACUAUCUGGGCCAACACUGACACUGAGGCACGAAAGCGUGGGGAGCAAACAGGAUUAGAUACCCCCGUAGUCCCUGUCUCUUAUAC
rnacentral:rRNA from 1 species